AUAAAAGUGGUGAUUCUUCUGUUGCAACUCAGCGUCAAUUCCGUCAACACUUCAACGUGGGUCAAGAGGACAUGUUCUGUCUUGUAACACAAUAUUGUUAUGAGUGAAAAAAUUCAGAGAAACAGAUUCAGCUCUCAAACGUCAACAGGUUGUCCAAGAUCAGUCAGGACACCAGACAACAUUGAGCAUGUCAGACAAGCUGUGGAGAUUAGUCCGAACCGGCCAGCUUGUAAACACACUUCUGCUAUGCGUCUUUCUGAUUGCAGCAUACAACGAAUACUUCAUUAUGAUUUACCUCGUAGUUGCUGAACAAUGGCC
rnacentral:lncRNA from 1 species